GAUGAACGCUGGCGGCGUGCCUAAUACAUGCAAGUCGAGCGAACAGACGAGGAGCUUGCUCCUCUGACGUUAGCGGCGGACGGGUGAGUAACACGUGGAUAACCUACCUAUAAGACUGGGAUAACUUCGGGAAACCUGAGCUAAUACCGUAUAAUAUAUUGAACCGCAUUGUUCAAUAGUGAAAGACGGUUUUGCUGUCACUUAUAGAUGGCUCCGCGCCGGAUUAGCUAGUUGGUAAGGUAACGGCUUACCAAGGCGACGAUGCGUAGCCGACCUGAGAGGGUGAUCGGCCACACUGGGACGGAGACACGGUCCAGACUCCUACGGGAGGCAGCAGUAGGGAAUCUUCCGCAAUGGGCGAAAGCCUGACGGAGCAACGCCGCGUGAGUGAUGAAGGUCUUCGGAUCGUAAAGCUCUGUUAUUAGGGAAGAACAAAUGUGUAAGUAAAAAGGCACGUCUGGACCGUACCUAAUCAGAAAGCCACGGCUAACCUCGUGC
rnacentral:rRNA from 1 species